UACGUAGGGUGCAAGCGUUAAUCGGAAUUACUGGGCGUAAAGCGUUGUCGCAGGCGGUUUUGUAAGUCUGAUGUGAAAUCCCGGGCUCAACCUGGGAAUUGCAUUGGAGACUGCAAGGCUAGAAUCUGGCAGAGGGGGUGAGAAUUCCACGUGUAGACAGUGAAAUGCGUAGAGAUGUGGAGGAACACCGAUGGCGAAGGGCAGCCCCCUGGGUCAAGAUUGACGCUCAUG
rnacentral:rRNA from 1 species